AUGUGGUCUGCCACCAUCCUCACUCUCCUCAUGGCUAUUCUCUCAGGUGUCUGUGCUCAGGUGCAGCUGGUGAAGUCUGGGGCAGAAGUGAAGAGACCUGGGCAAUCUUUGAGGAUCACCUGUGAGACGUCUGGAUACAGUUUUACCAGCUACUGGAUCAGCUGGGUGCGGCAGAUGCCUGGGAAGGGCUUGGAGUGGAUAGGAAUGAUAUAUCCUGGUGAUUCCGAUACCCGCUACAGCCCGUCCUUCCAAAGCCAACUCACUAUCUCUAGGGACAACUCCAUCAGCACCACCUACCUGCAGUGGAGCAGCCUGAAGGCCACAGACACAACCAUGUAUUACUGUGCAAGGAGCACAGUGAGAGGUUACUACAAAUAUUACAUUGAACAACUUACAAUUACGGCAAACAGAGUUAUGCAUACCUAUAUUCAUCACAGUACUACUCACAUAGCAACAAAGUUGUAA